rnacentral:rRNA from 1 species
CGACGCUGGCGGCGUGCCUAACACAUGCAAGUCGAACGGAGUUAAGAAGCUUGCUUUUUAACUUAGUGGCGGACGGGUGAGUAACGCGUGAGCAACCUGCCUCUGUGAGGGGAAUAACGUCUGGAAACGGACGCUAAUACCGCAUAACAUACACUUAUCGCAUGUUAGGUGUAUCAAAGAUUUAUCGCACAGAGAUGGGCUCGCGUCUGAUUAGAUAGUUGGUGAGGUAACGGCUCACCAAGUCGACGAUCAGUAGCCGGACUGAGAGGUUGAACGGCCACAUUGGAACUGAGAUACGGUCCAGACUCCUACGGGAGGCAGCAGUGGGGAAUAUUGGGCAAUGGACGCAAGUCUGACCCAGCGACGCCGCGUGAAGGAAGAAGGCCUUCGGGUUGUAAACUUUAGUUAUCAGGGAAGAACAAAUGACGGUACCUGAAGAGAAAGCCACGGCUAACUACGUG